GCGAAAUUGGGCAAAAAGGGGCAAGCCCAAAAUUGAUAAUCGAUAAGCGAAGUCGGCACCCCUGUUCCAUGCGCAACACUGCGGUAAAGAGGAAGCAUGUGUUACUCCAUGUUCCAGCGUCUACAAACUGUGUGGAGGAAGAAGCAACGCGGAGAAGUUCCUCGGACAGCUUUGGAACAAUGAGUGCCCAGUUCCUGCGAUGGAGAGGCAGGAGUCCGCCAGCUCCCGACUGAACCCCAUGAUACAGGCUAUCAUUGGUCGGGCACCAACGACGAUCACUGUUGAGUAUAAGGUGAAAAACGGCGGUUCUACGGUUGGGUGCCAAUCUUUCAAAGUUCGCGUUGAUGCUGCUUGAACGUCAAGGUAGGAUCGGCGAACUUCCACAGGUGAAAUGCGACGGCUACCGACUUUGGCGAGUAAGAUCCACUCGCAGCAAUAAAGAGUUUCACCAAAACGUC